CUAGAGUUUUGGGACUCGAAAUUCUUCUAUUCUUUGGUAUUGGAGGAGCGGAGAUGUUACAUCCAUUGUUGGUCCAUCUGCAUCGUAUUACGUGAAAAAUGGACAUCGAGCUUCAUAUUAGAUAAAGAACUUGAUCAAUAUUAGGUUAGGGAAAGAUAGAGUAAAUAUGUUUAUAAUAUUUAGUCCUCACUUUAAAAAACUCUCCAUUCUCCUCGUUCUAAAAGAUCAAUAAGUACUCCAUUUGUAACAUAAAACUCAUUCUAAAAAACUCUCCAUUCUCCUCACUCUAAAAAACUCUCAAUUCUCCUUGUUCUAAAAGAUCAACAAGUACUCCAUUUGUAACAUCAAACUUAUUCUAAAAAACUCUACAUUCUCCUCACUCUAAAAGAUCAAUAAGUGCUCCAUUUGUAACAUAAAACUCACUCUAAAAAACUCUCUAUUCUCCUCACUCUAAGAGCCUGUUUGAUUUCACAUGCUUAUGCAUAAGCAACUUAAAAUAAGCAAAUAAGUUGCUUAUGGAACCAAUCACUCUUGCUUAUGAGGUUGCUUAUGGGGGUUGCUUAUUAUAAGCAAAUAAGCAACUCUUGGGUUGCUUAUGGUUGCUUAUGGGGACUUCCCGAUGCACUUUAGACCUCUUGCCCUCAUUGAAUGCCUGGUUUCUCUCCCUCUCUCUCAAUGAUUAGGGGCAAACAUGACAAUAUCCACCUCAUUCAAUGCUUAUAAGCAAGGGUAUCCAAACAGCUGAACUAAAAAUAAGCAACUCCAAAUAAGUAACUUUAAGUUGCUUAUAAUAAGCAACUCAAACCAAACAGGCCCUAAAAAACUCUCCAUUCUCCUUGUUCAAAAAAAUCAACAAGUACUCCAUUUGUAACAUAAAACUCAUUCUACAAAACUCUCCAUUCUCCUCACUCUAAUAAAGCAACAAGUUACUCCAUUUGUAAUAAAACUAGCUCAUUCAAAAAAAAACCUAGAAUACUAUGACCAUAGAAGGGUGAAUGAAGUUGCUAACCAGUCUAGUGAAGAAGCCGGUCGAGUGAAGAAAAACGAAACCCGAGCAAAUGGUUGAACUUGCUCGGGGAGGAAGGAAGCAGCUGAUUUAUAGAGUUUACCGGCUGGUAACUUCAACCGGUAUUAAAUGGUUACAAUUAGUACCGGUUCAAGCUACCAGCCGAUACUAAAUGGCAUUCUCACCAUUUAGUACCGACUGAAGCUAUCAGCCAAUACUAAAUGGCUUCCUGGGGAAUCUAGUUGUCGACCACGCAGUCCACGUGCUG
rnacentral:lncRNA from 1 species